GACGAACGCUGGCGGCGUGCUUAACACAUGCAAGUCGAACGGAAAGGCCCUGCUUUUGUGGGGUGCUCGAGUGGCGAACGGGUGAGUAACACGUGAGUAACCUGCCCUUGACUUUGGGAUAACUUCAGGAAACUGGGGCUAAUACCGGAUAGGAGCUCCUGCUGCAUGGUGGGGGUUGGAAAGUUUCGGCGGUUGGGGAUGGACUCGCGGCUUAUCAGCUUGUUGGUGGGGUAGUGGCUUACCAAGGCUUUGACGGGUAGCCGGCCUGGGAGGGUGACCGGCCACAUUGGGACUGAGAUACGGCCCAGACUCGUACGGGAGGCAGCAGUGGGGAAUAUUGCACAAUGGGCGGAAGCCUGAUGCAGCAACGCCGCGUGCGGGAUGACGGCCUUCGGGUUGUAAACCGCUUUCGCCUGUGACGAAGCGUGAGUGACGGUAAUGGGUAAAGAAGCACCGGCUAACUACGUG
rnacentral:rRNA from 1 species